CAAUAGCGUAUAUUAAAGUUGUUGCAGUUAAAAAGCUCGUAGUUGGAUUUCUGGUGGGAGCGAUCGGUCUGGCGCUUAGCGCGAGUACUUGCAUCGUCUCCGGCCAUCCUUGGGAAGAGUCUGUCUGGCAUUAAGUUGUCGGGCAGAGGAUCCUCAUCGUUUACUGUGAAAAAAUUAGAGUGUUCAAAGCAGGCUUAUGCCGUUGAAUAUAUUAGCAUGGAAUAAUAAGAUAGGACUUUGGUACUAUUUUGUUGGUUUGCGCACCAAAGUAAUGAUUAAUAGGGACAGUUGGGGGUAUUCGUAUUCCGUUGUCAGAGGUGAAAUUCUUGGAUUUACGGAAGACGAACUACUGCGAAAGCAUUUACCAAGGAUGUUUUCAUUAA
rnacentral:rRNA from 1 species